GGCUUGGUGGCAUAAUGGUAACGUGCUCCGUGGUGUUAUAUAGCAUUUGUAUAUUGUCUGACAGAAAGUCCGGAGUUCAAUUCUCUGUCAAGCCA